GUCUACGGCCAUACCACCCUGAACACACCCGGUCUCGUCUGAUCUCGAAGCUAAGCAGGGUCGGGCCUGGUUAAUACUUGGAUGGGAGAAUUACAAUAUACAGACU
rnacentral:rRNA from 1 species